rnacentral:rRNA from 1 species
ACACUCCUACGGGAGGCAGCAGUGGGGAAUUUUGGACAAUGGGCGAAAGCCUGAUCCAGCAAUGCCGCGUGUGUGAAGAAGGCCUUCGGGUUGUAAAGCACUUUUGUCCGGAAAGAAAUCCUUGGCUCUAAUACAGUCGGGGGAUGACGGUACCGGAAGAAUAAGCACCGGCUAACUACGUGCCAGCAGCCGCGGUAAUACGUAGGGUGCGAGCGUUAAUCGGAAUUACUGGGCGUAAAGCGUGCGCAGGCGGUUUGCUAAGACCGAUGUGAAAUCCCCGGGCUCAACCUGGGAACUGCAUUGGUGACUGGCAGGCUAGAGUAUGGCAGAGGGGGGUAGAAUUCCACGUGUAGCAGUGAAAUGCGUAGAGAUGUGGAGGAAUACCGAUGGCGAAGGCAGCCCCCUGGGCCAAUACUGACGCUCAUGCACGAAAGCGUGGGGAGCAAACAGGAUUAGAUACCCGUGUAGUCCCAUG